AACCUACCUUUUACAGAGGGAUAGCCUUUAGAAAUGAAGAUUAAUACCUCAUAACACUGAUUAUUCGCAUGAGUAAUUAGUUAAAGAUUUAUCGGUAAAAGAUGGCUAUGCGUCCUAUUAGUUAGUUGGUAAGGUAACGGCUUACCAAGGCAUCGAUAGGUAGGGGUCCUGAGAGGGAGAUCCCCCACACUGGUACUGAGACACGGACCAGACUCCUACGGGAGGCAGCAGUGAGGAAUAUUGGGCAAUGGAGGCAACUCUGACCCAGCCAUGCCGCGUGCAGGAAGAAGGUUCUAUGGACCUAAACUGCUUUUAUACAGGAAGAAACCCUCGGACGUGUCCCAGCUUGACGGUACUGUAAGAAUAAGCACCGGCUAACUCCGUGCCAGCAGCCGCGGUAAUACGGAGGGUGCAAGCGUUAUCCGGAAUCAUUGGGUUUAAAGGGUCCGCAGGCGUCAAUUAAGUCAGAGGUGAAAUCCCAUAGCUUAACAUGGAACUGCCUUUGAUACUGGUUGACUGAGUUAUACGGAAGUAGAUAGAAUGUGUAGUGUAGCGGUGAAAUGCAUAGAUAUUACACGAAUACCGAUUGCCAAGGCAGUCUACUACUAUAUACCGACCCUCAUGGACCAAAGCGUGGGGAGCGAACCGGAUUAGAUACCCCGGUAGUCCCCGCCCUAAACCAUGGAUACUAGUUGUUGGGGCUAAGCUCAGUGACUAAGCCAAAGUGAUAAGUAUCCCCACCCCGGGGAGUACCCGUCCCAAGAUUGAAACCCCAAGGAAUUGACGGGGGGCCCGCCCCAAGCCGGUGGAGCACGUGGUUUAAUUCCAUGAUACCCCCAGGAACCCCUACCCAGGGCUUAAAUGUACAGUGACACGGCUAGAAGAUAGCCUUUUUUUCCU
rnacentral:rRNA from 1 species